rnacentral:pre_miRNA from 1 species
GAUUUCAACUGAACAAGUCAUCAACAAAAAAGUGGUAUAACUCAUCAAGAUCUAUAACUUUUAUUUGGAUCAUUUCUUCAUCCGACAAAGUGAUUUGUAACAUUGUUCACAAAAUGUAUAUAUCUUUUAUAUACUUUAUAAGCUAUAAGAGGGAUAUAUAAAUUUUUUGUUAACAAUAUUAUUAUUACUUUAUCGGAUGAAGAAAUGACCAAAAUAAAAGUUAUAGAUAUUGAUGAGUUAUACAAUUUUGAUGUUGAUGACUUUUUCAGUUGAAAUC